GGGUUGUGAGGUUAAGCGACUAAGCGUACACGGUGGAUGCCCUGGCAGUCAGAGGCGAUGAAGGACGUGCUAAUCUGCGAUAAGCGUCGGUAAGGUGAUAUGAACCGUUAUAACCGGCGAUUUCCGAAUGGGGAAACCCAGUGUGUUUCGACACACUAUCAUUAACUGAAUCCAUAGGUUAAUGAGGCGAACCGGGGGAACUGAAACAUCUAAGUACCCCGAGGAAAAGAAAUCAACCGAGAUUCCCCCAGUAGCGGCGAGCGAACGGGGAGCAGCCCAGAGCCUGAAUCAGUGUGUGUGUUAGUGGAAGCGUCUGGAAAGGCGCGCGAUACAGGGUGACAGCCCCGUACACAAAAAUGCACAUACUGUGAGCUCGAUGAGUAGGGCGGGACACGUGGUAUCCUGUCUGAAUAUGGGGGGACCAUCCUCCAAGGCUAAAUACUCCUGACUGACCGAUAGUGAACCAGUACCGUGAGGGAAAGGCGAAAAGAACCCCGGCGAGGGGAGUGAAAAAGAACCUGAAACCGUGUACGUACAAGCAGUGGGAGCACGCUUCGGCGUGUGACUGCGUACCUUUUGUAUAAUGGGUCAGCGACUUAUAUUCUGUAGCAAGGUUAACCGAAUAGGGGAGCCGAAGGGAAACCGAGUCUUAACUGGGCGUUAAGUUGCAGGGUAUAGACCCGAAACCCGGUGAUCUAGCCAUGGGCAGGUUGAAGGUUGGGUAACACUAACUGGAGGACCGAACCGACUAAUGUUGAAAAAUUAGCGGAUGACUUGUGGCUGGGGGUGAAAGGCCAAUCAAACCGGGAGAUAGCUGGUUCUCCCCGAAAGCUAUUUAGGUAGCGCCUCGUGAAUUCAUCUCCGGGGGUAGAGCACUGUUUCGGCAAGGGGGUCAUCCCGACUUACCAACCCGAUGCAAACUGCGAAUACCGGAGAAUGUUAUCACGGGAGACACACGGCGGGUGCUAACGUCCGUCGUGAAGAGGGAAACAACCCAGACCGCCAGCUAAGGUCCCAAAGUCAUGGUUAAGUGGGAAACGAUGUGGGAAGGCCCAGACAGCCAGGAUGUUGGCUUAGAAGCAGCCAUCAUUUAAAGAAAGCGUAAUAGCUCACUGGUCGAGUCGGCCUGCGCGGAAGAUGUAACGGGGCUAAACCAUGCACCGAAGCUGCGGCAGCGACACUAUGUGUUGUUGGGUAGGGGAGCGUUCUGUAAGCCUGUGAAGGUGUGCUGUGAGGCAUGCUGGAGGUAUCAGAAGUGCGAAUGCUGACAUAAGUAACGAUAAAGCGGGUGAAAAGCCCGCUCGCCGGAAGACCAAGGGUUCCUGUCCAACGUUAAUCGGGGCAGGGUGAGUCGACCCCUAAGGCGAGGCCGAAAGGCGUAGUCGAUGGGAAACAGGUUAAUAUUCCUGUACUUGGUGUUACUGCGAAGGGGGGACGGAGAAGGCUAUGUUGGCCGGGCGACGGUUGUCCCGGUUUAAGCGUGUAGGCUGGUUUUCCAGGCAAAUCCGGAAAAUCAAGGCUGAGGCGUGAUGACGAGGCACUACGGUGCUGAAGCAACAAAUGCCCUGCUUCCAGGAAAAGCCUCUAAGCAUCAGGUAACAUUAAAUCGUACCCCAAACCGACACAGGUGGUCAGGUAGAGAAUACCAAGGCGCUUGAGAGAACUCGGGUGAAGGAACUAGGCAAAAUGGUGCCGUAACUUCGGGAGAAGGCACGCUGAUAUGUAGGUGAAGUCCCUCGCGGAUGGAGCUGAAAUCAGUCGAAGAUACCAGCUGGCUGCAACUGUUUAUUAAAAACACAGCACUGUGCAAACACGAAAGUGGACGUAUACGGUGUGACGCCUGCCCGGUGCCGGAAGGUUAAUUGAUGGGGUUAGCGGUAACGCGAAGCUCUUGAUCGAAGCCCCGGUAAACGGCGGCCGUAACUAUAACGGUCCUAAGGUAGCGAAAUUCCUUGUCGGGUAAGUUCCGACCUGCACGAAUGGCGUAAUGAUGGCCAGGCUGUCUCCACCCGAGACUCAGUGAAAUUGAACUCGCUGUGAAGAUGCAGUGUACCCGCGGCAAGACGGAAAGACCCCGUGAACCUUUACUAUAGCUUGACACUGAACAUUGAGCCUUGAUGUGUAGGAUAGGUGGGAGGCUUUGAAGUGUGGACGCCAGUCUGCAUGGAGCCGACCUUGAAAUACCACCCUUUAAUGUUUGAUGUUCUAACGUUGACCCGUGAUCCGGGUUGCGGACAGUGUCUGGUGGGUAGUUUGACUGGGGCGGUCUCCUCCUAAAGAGUAACGGAGGAGCACGAAGGUUGGCUAAUCCUGGUCGGACAUCAGGAGGUUAGUGCAAUGGCAUAAGCCAGCUUGACUGCGAGCGUGACGGCGCGAGCAGGUGCGAAAGCAGGUCAUAGUGAUCCGGUGGUUCUGAAUGGAAGGGCCAUCGCUCAACGGAUAAAAGGUACUCCGGGGAUAACAGGCUGAUACCGCCCAAGAGUUCAUAUCGACGGCGGUGUUUGGCACCUCGAUGUCGGCUCAUCACAUCCUGGGGCUGAAGUAGGUCCCAAGGGUAUGGCUGUUCGCCAUUUAAAGUGGUACGCGAGCUGGGUUUAGAACGUCGUGAGACAGUUCGGUCCCUAUCUGCCGUGGGCGCUGGAGAACUGAGGGGGGCUGCUCCUAGUACGAGAGGACCGGAGUGGACGCAUCACUGGUGUUCGGGUUGUCAUGCCAAUGGCACUGCCCGGUAGCUAAAUGCGGAAGAGAUAAGUGCUGAAAGCAUCUAAGCACGAAACUUGCCCCGAGAUGAGUUCUCCCUGACUCCUUGAGAGUCCUGAAGGAACGUUGAAGACGACGACGUUGAUAGGCCGGGUGUGUAAGCGCAGCGAUGCGUUGAGCUAACCGGUACUAAUGAACCGU
rnacentral:rRNA from 1 species